GCGUGCAGUCAGUGUAAAACGGCCUUCUGGCUGACGGUGUCCAGUCCAGUGGUAUUUUCGCAGAGUCACCGUUGAGAGUGCCUCAGCUGUGUAGUUGUUCGACUGCAUCAGGCGCUGGAACGGAACAGUUAGAAACGAACCGAGUAGUUUUCCUGAGCAACCUUUUUACUCGCGAGGCCUAGUGCGAACGGGUUCGGUGGAUGUAAUCCUGGACUACAUGUUGACCUCAACGGUACCAAGUGGAGCUUCGGAGAAAGGUUGUCCUUUGAGCUUGUGAAUGGCCUGUGCAGUAAGCGGCUGAAACGCCGUUUGCAGAUCUGUUUUUGAAGCAGGAAGUACUGCGAAACAGCCCGUAACCGAUGUGUAUUACGUUGACUGGUGGCCAUAUGGUGAAGCAGAGAAGAUUCAUUGGAAAUACAAAUAACAAAAUGAUUAAUAUACGGGAACAUUUAUAGGCGACUAUAAUUCGAUUCAUUGUAAAUAGCGCCUUGAAGAGUGAAAGUAUUCUUGUUGUAAACACACACUGAGUUGUGAGUUGUGUAUACACGAUCUCUUUCGUAUUAUGUGAUGAUCGUCGUAUUCCAAGAGUGAAAAAGUUAUCUCAAUAAGCGACGUUUUGGCUGGAUCUUCUUAUCUCUUUGCACCGACUGCUAGACCGAGAGCCC